rfam:Stx2 converting phage vB_EcoP_24B, complete genome.
GCGCCAGCAAAAUCUGGCGUCGGGAUUAGCACCCCGGAUAUCGAAACGGUGCAUAACCGCGCUGGCGGUUUUUUA